GAAAUCAACAAAAUUAAACAGAACAUAUUUGUUUGUUCAGAUCACAUCCUUAGAAGUGAUUUCUUAUAUAAGGAAGAUAAUAUUAUCAGUAGCCAGACUUAGACCAAACAGAUUAAAAAAAUCAGCUCUACCUCAAAGGAUUUCUGAUGCACUGGUUAAAAACACAGCAGCUGAUAAUUCAGUUAAUUUACCAAGUGAUUUACCCUUCAAACCUGCAGGAAAAGCUUUCCUGAAGAGUGCAAAAACUUUUUUAGCUUCCAAAAUGGUAUAUAGUACAAACAGUGAAGCUGAUAUAGACAAGUAUGGAUAAUUAAAAUAGAUUAAUAUUCUAGAUACACCAAAUUUUGUAUAAUUAUAGAUCUGAUCAUUCAUCAUCAACAAUAACUGCAUCUGAGAUUAAUAGUUCUACAGUAACCGUAGGGUCUAGGUCAACAAUUACUAUUUCUCAUCCAAGCCGUUUUUGUUUAACUGCUACAUAUUCCCUGACUCUGCCAAGGAAAAGGGUAAAAUCAAAAUGAUAUCCUGAGGACCUAAGCACUGAUGAUUCCACCGUUUCAAAAGCUAAAUCACUUGUUACCAAAUUAUGGAAAAAAAAUAAAGAGCAAAAAAUUAAAAUUCGAAGAUUGCAAUAAACAAAUUUGCCCCAAAGAAAUUGAAUUAGAUGUCUCAAGUCAUUAUUAAAAUACUUAAGAAAUAAUAACAUGAUUUUUGAAAAAGCCCAACAUACUACAUAUUUUAUUUGACUUGUAAAAGUACUUGUUUGUAUAUUUUUACUAAUAAACUAUUUAAUCUAAUCUAUUGUACAUAGUCUUUAUUCUUAGGUAAGUUUUGUUUUUUAGUAUAAAUUAAUAUGAUAUAAUAUUUGGUAUUAGGUAUUAUAUAGGUCACUGUUAAAUGUCUCAAAACCAUUGUACAGGCUAAAUACUCAUAAUAAAAAUCUUAUAACCUAUAAAAAACCUGCAACUCCUUCACAAUUUAAACCUCCUUGUAGUUUUAACUCUUUCCGCUGAAUCAAUACUGUCCCUUUGAAAAAGUCAGCACCAUAGAAGUAUAUAUUAUGUGAUAUAAAGUAAGUGAUGUAAACCUGAGUUUUG